AGCAAAGGCCUAAACCGUACAUGAGGAAUUGUGUUCACUGAUGCAUCGAAGAGAAGGGCACCAUUGCCAACGUCUACUCAGGUCGUCUGAUUUCCGUUGACUCAAUGGGCUUGGAGUGGAGCGCCCACGCCUACGCAAACCUGAAAACUCACGGAGAAGGCGAAGCGGUAGAAGGGGAAGAAUGUCACCUCACAAGCAACAGUCAGUUGCUUUCGAAAACAGCACAAGGAGAGAUCGGAAGGAAAACUGGUUGUUGCGGGGAGGUCACUCUGGACGCAGUGUCAACGCCUCGCUAUGACGACACGUCAACGGGGAGGAUCCUCCAAAAAACGAGUUUCGGGACGCCAUGAAGUCUCUCGAAGCUUUCCUCAUCUUGAUGCGCAUCGUCAAACACUUGUGCUUAGGCGAACCGGACGCACGAUUUCGGUCUCCCGUACACUUCUUGGGAUUUGCUCUAUCCAUCCGGCAUGCGGCAACACAACUGAUACCCAGGCCAGAAGAUGCAACACCGCCUGAUUGUAGGAUAAGAACGUUGAAAACGCGCUCUCGAGGAUAGCUUGCGGCGUCGCCGUGCCACCUCGGCGAUGAGCGCGUCUACGACGCGUUUGCGGAAACUUGUGAAACUAACCUCCGCAUCCAUUUGUGGAUCGGUCUGGAGCACUUGAGAAAGUAUAUCUUGUCGGUGUUGGGCGGUCGUAUUCUCGGAGCAUCGGUCGAGAACGCGGGAACCUAUGCAAGGAAGGAAUCCUUAGAAUGUCGAUUGCGGCAGAUGACGUGCUGACGUUGGCGGCCGAUGCUAUCGAUGCGCUUGUGCGUUCCAAAGAGGUGUCGCAACGAGCGCGUUGAUCGCUGCAGAUCAUCGAAGUUCAUUGGGUCGCUCACGGCCUCGCAGCGGCGGACAUCGUACCCCACGCUAGAUGAACCGCGAUGCAUCUUGCGCUAUGACAAUAUCGAGAAGCGAACUCCCCCGAGCCAGGCGGACUUUCUUUCCGAAUGCGAGCGCCCGAGCCGCUUCCACCGGCAAUGACAUGUGGUACCCGAACGGGAGCUAGAGGCCGAGUAUAUCAUCGUUGACGCAUGGAUAGCGUAUGGUCUCCUUAAUGGGCUAUGGCUGGUCUCUGCGACCAACAUUGCAGCAUUCGAACAGCUUCGCGAAGAGCAUCGGCCGCGCUUGUUCAAGAUUUCCCGUUUACCGGAAAGAGAGACACAGAAGCAUACAUAGACGAGUGAGAGCAGCAGACGAUCCUUCUGCAUGUGCUAUGUUAGACUCAGUGCUGAGUCGAAUAACGGGGCUCGUUUUCAAAUGCUCCAGGUAGCUUUUACAGACACUGCGUGGCGGGCGUAGAUUCCUGGUUGAUGGGCGUCGUGGCGGUCGCAGUACCGCCAGACCAAGGUGACAGAGCCAAGAGACCCGUACGCAAAGCAAGUGAAGCUGCCCGACUUGCCCAGUGCCCAGGAUCGUCGAGUCGGGCAUGAUAUACGCCCGGGUGCAUACGAACGAGCGGCAUGACUGCUUCAUGGACCAUGGCAACGCCCUGAGCAUCGUAUCGCGCAGAAGGAAAUGCUUUGUACACUACGGUAUGUGCGCUAAUGAGCGUCCACACGGCUGUUGUGGACGAUUUCUGGCCUCGGUACAUAAGCCAUCACGGAGAUCGCCAACGUUUAUUGAUGGACGAAUGCGAGAAGCGUACGUCUGCGAGCUUGUUCCAUGAACAGGGAAGGUAGAUGACCGAUUACGCGCGUCAUUUAGCGGCGGUGGGAGCCCCUGCCGCAGGACGCGUUGUCGAGCGAAAUAGCUACGCUCCUCCUCUCUCGAACAGAGUGUACAGCGGGUGCAGGAAUCGAUUCUAUAAGAUUUCUGUCGAUGCUUUCAGGAUGACAUUCGCGCGUCACGAGCACAUGUGCUCGCUCCAAAACGUUUAGAAGCGGGAAGCGAAUCAGAGACGGACGCACGACAUGGUGCCUCGCGUACGGACGGCAUAUUAGGUAGCGAGGCAAUCGAAGGGAAACGACUUGCGGGGGUGUGAUUCCACCAGCAAGCGUUCGCGCAAGCACUCGCUGCACCGUCACUUGAGCGUCUCGGUGAGCACUGGGAAAUCUGUAGGAGUUCAGGAGUGUCCAGCGGCUUGGAGUUGUGCGAGCGUUAACGGAAUCAAUUUGUACACAGUGCAUGGGUAUUGUAGUGAAUCGCAGGGGGCCUCGCGAUGAAAACGAUCAUUAGUCACGAACGUGCGCAUUGGACUCUCGCAUGGUGCAACGCAAGGAAAUGGUGCGGUUCAGCGAUCCACUGAGACUGGAACGCCCUGCAUACACACCAGAAAUGGUUUACAUUGCCAUGCGGUAAACGACAAUGGUGUU